rfam:Gossypium hirsutum cultivar TM-1 chromosome 13, whole genome shotgun sequence
GGGUGCGAUCAUACUAGCAUUAAUGCAAUGGAUUUCAAUAGAACUCUACAAUUAAGCGUGCUUAGGUGAGAGUAAUACUAGGAUGGGUGACUUUUUGGGAAAUCGUCAUGUUUGCACCGC